UCACGAAGAACUCCGAUNGCGAAGGCAGCUUGCUGGACUGUAACUGACGCUGAGGCACGAAAGCGUGGGGAUCAAACAGGAUUAGAUACCCUGGUAGUCCACGCCGUAAACGAUGAAUGCUAGCUGUUAGCGAUAUACUGUUAGCGGCACAGAGAAAUCGUUAAGCAUUCCACCUGGGGAGUACGCCGGCAACGGUGAAACUCAAAGGAAUUGACGGGGGCCCGCACAAGCGGAGGAACAUGUGGUUUAAUUCGAUGAUACGCGAGGAACCUUACCUGGGCUUAAAUUGCAGUGGAAUAACGUGGAAACACGUUAGCCUUCGGGCCGCUGUGAAGGUGCUGCAUGGUUGUCGUCAGCUCGUGCCGUGAGGUGUCGGCUUAAGUGCCAUAACGAGCGCAACCCUCAUCGAUAGUUACUAACAGGUUAAGCUGAGGACUCUAUCGAGACUGCCGACGUAAGUCGUGAGGAAGGUGGGGAUGACGUCAAAUCAGCACGGCCCUUACGUCCAGGGCUACACACGUGUUACAAUGGGGGGUACAAAGGGCAGCUACCUGGCGACAGGAUGCUAAUCUCAAAAACCUCUCUCAGUUCGGAUUGGAGUCUGCAACCCGACUCCAUGAAGCUGGAUUCGCUAGUAAUCGCGCAUCAGCCACGGCGCGGUGAAUACGUUCCCGGGCCUUGUACACACCGCCCGUCAAGCCAUGGGAGCCGGGGGGACCUGAAGUAUGCAACCGUAAGGAGCGUCCUAGGGUAAAACUGGUGACUGGGGCU
rnacentral:rRNA from 1 species